rnacentral:lncRNA from 1 species
ACAUUCUUUAUUAAAGAAUCCUAUUUUUACAAAAAUUCAAUAAAUAAAUAAAUGAAUAAAUAAUUUUAUUAUAGGAAGUUUUCCUAAGAAACAAUUUAUUGAAAUAUCUUCAGAAAUAAAAUCUUGUUCUAGAAAGAGAAUUAACAAACUACGUCAAUUUCAAUUUUAUUUGACGGUUUAUUUAUUUGUCUUCUUCUUCUUCUUCUUCUUCUUCUUUUUUCUUUGUUUUUUAGUUGGGAUCGUCUUAUUACUUGUCAUGGUAUUCGAUCUUUUGUUUAUCUAUUACGUUUUUAAUACCAUAGUCGACUUGUUUUUAAAAACAUGAAUUUGUUAAUAUGUUUUUUACUGGAGACUUUCUUUCACUGGAACCAAUAGUGAAAGAAUCAUGAUGGUUGCAUAUAUAUCUAAUCAAUCUUAAAAUACAUUCUCUCUCUCUAUAUAUACAUACACACACACGUACACACCUUUUUAGACGUAUUAGUUUCAAAAUUUUAAAUACUUAGGAAUAAUAAUAAUCAUCAUCAUUAUGGCUGUUUCUGACGGUAUGAGUGGCUUGAACUAUCCUUUAUUAAAAGAAUCUAAUGGAUUGGACAUGGCAUUAUCUUAAAUGUAACAGACCAUCUAAUAAAUUUUAAUUGUGGAUACAAGCAUCAUGAAUAAGAACUUAACUAUACAUAAGCAAAUCAUAUUAGCUUGAACAGGGUUAUUCCUUACAAAACAUACAUCACAAUUAAAAAAAACUUAUGGUUAAAAUUUUCAUGGAUGAAAAACUUGUCUGUGUUUCAAAACUACCUCAAUACUUCUUUGAAUACAUAGCAAAUAAUAUCAACAUGUGUGUACUUGAU